AGUUUGAUCCUGGCUCAGAACGAACGCUGGCGGCAUGCCUAACACAUGCAAGUCGAACGAUGCUUUCGGGCAUAGUGGCGCACGGGUGCGUAACGCGUGGGAAUCUGCCCUUGGGUCUGGGAUAACAGUUGGAAACGACUGCUAAUACCGGAUGAUAUCGCGAGAUCAAAGAUUUAUCGCCCGAGGAUGAGCCCGCGUCAGAUUAGCUAGUUGGUGGGGUAAAGGCCUACCAAGGCGACGAUCUGUAGCUGGUCUGAGAGGAUGAUCAGCCACACUGGGACUGAGACACGGCCCAGACUCCUACGGGAGGCAGCAGUGGGGAAUAUUGGACAAUGGGCGCAAGCCUGAUCCAGCCAUGCCGCGUGAGUGAUGAAGGCCUUAGGGUUGUAAAGCUCUUUCACCGAUGAAGAUAAUGACGGUAGUCGGAGAAGAAGCCCCGGCUAACUCCGUGCCAGCAGCCGCGGUAA
rnacentral:rRNA from 1 species